rnacentral:ncRNA from 19 species
UCCAAAGAGAAAGGGUGUGGUUCCACGCAAGCUUGCUUGAUGGAUCAAACGGGAAUGUGGAAAGGACCUUGGUCCGAAGCCACAGCCGCCCCCGCGACUGUAAGUGGCGAGCGCGCGUUCACAACCACUGGAGUUUACUCCGGGAAGGGAAUGCGACGCGUCGACCCGCGAGCCAGGAGACCGGCCAUGCAACGGAUUACAACC